UACGUAGGGUGCAAGCGUUGUCCGGAAUUAUUGGGCGUAAAGAGCUCGUAGGCGGUUUGUCGCGUCUGCUGUGAAAUCCCGAGGCUCAACCUCGGGCCUGCAGCGGGUACGGGCAGACUAGAGUGCGGUAGGGGAGAUUGGAAUUCCUGGUGUAGCGGUGGAAUGCGCAGAUAUCAGGAGGAACACCGAUGGCGAAGGCAGAUCUCUGGGCCGUAACUGACGCUGAGGAGCGAAAGCAUGGGGAGCGAACAGG
rnacentral:rRNA from 1 species